GACGCGACAAGUUCGCCUACAACAUGGUAA
rnacentral:sRNA from 1 species